GACGAACGCUGGCGGCGUGGAUUAGGCAUGCAAGUCGAACGGUAUCAUCCUUUCGGGGGUGAGAGAGUGGCGAACUGGUGAGUAACACGUAGGUUAUCUACCCUCAAGACGGGGGACAACCCAGGGAAACUUGGGCUAAUACCGGAUGUGAGCAACUUUUAGUUGUUUGAAAGGUGGCGUAAGCUGUCGCUUGGGGAUGAGCCUGCGUCCUAUUAGUUAGUUGGUGAGGUAACGGCUCACCUAGGCAAUGAUAGGUAGGCGGCCUUAACGGGUGGUCGCCCACACUGGGAUUGAGAUACGGCCCAGACUCCUACGGGAGGCAGCAGUCGAGAAUAGUCUACAAUGGUCGGAAGACUGAUAGUGCGACGCCGCGUGAACGAUGAAUCCCUUCGGGGUUAAAGUUCUUUUAAAUGUGAGCAGUGCUUCUUAUAUUAAACAGUAUGGGGGAAGAGAUAUUAGCUAAUAUGAAUAAGCAACGGCUAACUCCGUGCCAGCAGCCCGACGGUAAACUA
rnacentral:rRNA from 1 species